GAUGAACGCUGGCGGCGUGCCUAAUACAUGCAAGUCGAGCGAACAGAUGAGGAGCUUGCUCCUCUGACGUUAGCGGCGGACGGGUGAGUAACACGUGGAUAACCUACCUAUAAGACUGGGAUAACUUCGGGAAACCGGAGCUAAUACCGGAUAAUAUAUUGAACCGCAUGGUUCAAUAGUGAAAGACGGUUUUGCUGUCACUUAUAGAUGGAUCCGCGCCGCAUUAGCUAGUUGGUAAGGUAACGGCUUACCAAGGCAACGAUGCGUAGCCGACCUGAGAGGGUGAUCGGCCACACUGGAACUGAGACACGGUCCAGACUCCUACGGGAGGCAGCAGUAGGGAAUCUUCCGCAAUGGGCGAAGGCCUGACGGAGCAACGCCGCGUGAGUGAUGAAGGUCUUCGGAUCGUAAAACUCUGUUAUUGGGGAAGAACAAAUGUGUAAGUAACUAUGCACGUCUUGACGGUACCUAAUCAGAAAGCCACGGCUAACUACGUG
rnacentral:rRNA from 1 species